rnacentral:lncRNA from 1 species
CUCUGGCCCGAAUCGAUAUCCCACGUUAUCUGGCUGUCUGUAGUACAGAGUCACAAAGUCAAAGUCUUCCUUGGUGAGCCAGUUCAUGACGGUAUUGAUGUUCUCCCUCCGCUCUGUCUCAUUGCUGUUUGGAGACAGGGUUUCACCAUGUUGGCCAGGCUGGUCUCGAACUCCUGACCUCGUGAUCUGCCUGCUUGGCCUCCCAAAGUCCUGGGAUUACAGGCAUGAGCCACCGUACCCAGCCACUCUUGGUUAACUUAAUGGAAAUAUUUACAGAGAUUCUUUCUCUUCUGGGUUCUAGCGUCUUAUCUGUACCCUCUGCAGGGGAGUCAGUGAGCAGAAGGAAGCAAGUUGCCUGAGAUUCUUCAAAGCCCCAGCCCUUUCGGAGGUUAGGUUGUUAUUCUCAGAGCCUUUAUGAUGCAUAAUAAAGUCCUAGCUUGGACC